AUCUAGGUAGCUUAAGUAAAGAGUGUGGCACUGAAGAUGCUAAGGAAAUAUAAUUAUUUCUAGAUA
rnacentral:tRNA from 1 species